CACUUCAGAGAAACACAAGAAUAGCUGAGGCAGGCAGGGCCCUCUGGAUCCCCCAGUCCCAGCCCCGCUGCAGCAGGGCCACCCAGAGCAGGGUGCCCAGGCCUACAGCCAGGUGGCUUCUGGAGACCUCCAGGGAGGAGACCCCGCAGCCUCUGGGCAGCCUGUGCCACUGCUCCGUCACCUGCACAGCACAGCAGUGCUCCUGGUGUUCAGAGGGAGCCUCCUGUGCUCCAGUCUGUGCCCAUGGCCUCUUGUGCUGGCACUGGGCACCACUGGAAAGAGCCUGGCUCUGUUCUCACUGCACCGUUCCUCCAGAUAUUUAUACACAUUGAUUUUAUACACCCUGAGCCUCCUCUUUUCCAGGCUGGAAAAAAAGAAAGAAAGAAAGAAGAAAGUAUGUUCUUUUUUUCCUGUUACAGCAGGUAAAUAUAACUUGCCUGUAUGAUUACAUGCAGAACUGCAAUCCUCCUUAUAGAGCUACAAUGGCAAUGUGAAAUACAAGUGUGAAAAGUCACAAAUGGUGUAAGAAGCACACGUAAUUCACUUAUUGUACAAGAACUGAGAUAGUCUUGCUUAAAAUGGGUUGUUGGCUUUGAACUCUGGACUUCUUGGCAAGAAGGAUAUGUACUGCUAUGUCUGUGGAUGAUGAUCUCUGCUUUCUGCUACAACAUGAGGUUUAAGACAGGACUGGCCAAUACAUCUAGGAGUCUGUUGGGCUGCUCUGAAUUGAGUUUGCUUAUGGAAAAGCAUUGCUAACUUUCUGAUUUUAUUCCUGUUUCAUGGUGUUCGCUUCUUUCCUGCUAGAAAGCCGGUCUACUGGCAGCAAGGGAUUUCAUGUGAAAUUCAGCUUUCAGGUUUGAGGUCUGCCUUCCCAGCAUUUCUAUAAAAUGAUGCUUAGGAGCUCUAAGUGCUCAGAAAUUGGAAAGAAAUAAAACGUUGAAGCCUCUUAUUUCUUAAAGGAAGCUCCUAUUUUUAAGCCAAAUUCAAAAUUUUAUGGCAUGUGAGUCAUAUUUUUGAGUACUCGCCGUCGGCAGUCCUGUGAUGAGUAGAACAUAUGGACAGUGCUCCUGUAAGCUUGCCCAGCAUAGCGUCUCGGCAGCGAAUCCCCCUGGUGUUUGUUGUUCAGGUCGGCUGAAGGACUGACUCCUCGCCGUAACAGUGAGACUGCCAGCUGGGCUGAUGGCUUUGUGGUGUGGACACUUGUACAGGACGUGUAGAGCUGACCAAAUACUUUCAUCAUCCCAUCACAGUCCCUCUGCCAGCAACAUUUAUAGUGGUUCCCACUGGUGACAGCCGACUGAUCAAUCACAGACUGCCCUGCUGAUGAACUCCACUAACAAGCCAUUCAUAACUACAGCAGCCUCUUUUUAUUUUCAUGGCUGAUCUCAAGUGAUAUUUGCGCUGCUUUGCACAGGCUCUAGAGGACGAUUUUCAGAAGCCUAUUUGUUUAUGAGUUUUUGCUUAGCGUUUGGAAAUGCUUGAACGCAUGCUAAAUUGCAUCUUGUAGUCCUGCACUGUGUCUGCUUGCGUGCAGGCUGGCUGGUUUCAGGAUGCUGGAUCAGAAUGGGAAGUAUUACUCAGCGGUGAGGCAAAAGUCUGAGGGGUGCCUAAGUAUUUUCUGCUAGAUCACCUUCAUUAUCUUUUGUUCUUGAUUGUUUACUGCAUCUGCUAGAAUAAAAUUUGCAGUGCUAUGAAUAUUGGCUGUGUUGUUUUCCUUCUAUAUGUAAAAAGAAAACAGUUCUUGGUACCUGAACUGCUACUACUUCCUGACUAGGAGAGACUUUUCUCCCCUCAUUUUGCCUUACGAAUUAUAAAAAUGCCAUUUUUUUUUUCUCAGAACCCUACUAAAAGAUGCUAUUUUAGCUGGUCUUGCAAAGGUAUUAUCAUGACCUCAACCAAACCCAUAUGUUGCUUUCAGAUUGCUCUUGUAUUAGAGUUCAACGUGUCAUUGAUUUAGGCUGUGUUAUUUCCUAGAGAACAAAAUGCCAUUUGUUAUUGCCAGGAAGCCUUAAAAAAACGUAUGGGGUAUAGAAGGUGUUUUAUAUAAAACAGUUUAUAUAUAGUUUGCUUGCGUAUAGUUUCCUUGUCCUCUAUUACCUCUUUUUUUUCCCCUUUUUUCUCUUUCUCUGUGCUUAUUUUGUAGGAUGAUCCACAUUCUGCUUUCUAUUUGCAGGAGUAACUGAGAAAUACUGGUUCUUGUCUGUGUUGGCGUGGUAGUCCAACCCCUUGGAAAUAUCACCGAAGUAAGAAAUUAAACCCAUACAGUCGGAUUUUUAAUUCUCUUCACUCUCUACUGAAUACUUAAAAGCUCAGACUUUUUAUAUAAACAGCUAAAGGCGAGCAGAGUUACUGCUUAAUGUGGUGUUGUUCACCUGCAGCUUCCAGAUUGUGAGGAAAGUCCCGAGAAAAAUGUAAGACCAGCAUGUUCUCUCAAAGUCAAACUUGUGUCUAGACAGAAAGGCUUACAUAAGCCACCAGGAGAGGAAGGGUGCCUUGUGUAACUGCAGUCCCCAGAAAAAAAACACUCAAUACCUCGCAUGAUUUGGCCCACAGAGGCAGACAGCAAAAUGCACUUUUGUGCUUUUUACUUAGCUCACCAUGACUUGCAACUUAAACUUGUUCUCUUGCCUCAAUGGAUUUCCAAAUACAUGUUUAUCUUCUAGCUAUUAUUAUUUUACUAAAGGCUUUACUCUCCUGCUCAAGCCAAAACACUUUUUCCUGCGACCCCAAAUGUACCUACCUACCCAAUUUAAAACAAAUAUAGCAUGGUGCUGAUUUUAAGUGGCCUCUAGGGGUGGUCAAUGGCAUUUUUCAAACAAUGCAAACAGUAUGUAAAUGACGAGAGACAGCACAGAGUUCAUAAAAAUAAAUGCUGUGUUAAGUUAGGUUUCUAGUUUUUUUACUGAAAAAGUGUGGCAAUAUAACUUUAAGCUAUAGGUAUCAUCUUAAAAGUACUGUAGUCUGUGUUCAUCAGUGCCUUAUGGGGAGCUCUGGCACUCAUCCAGCACUGAACUAUCCAUACAUUUUGUUUUGAUUUCCUCUUGUUCGAUGCAGAUCUCUUCAGGUGGGUGCCUUCAUUUUACUCUUCUCUGUUACUACCUUCUCUUGAUGUAGGAGCUGUUGUCACAGGCUCCGUGUGUUUAUUUCUGCUCUAGAAAUGAGAACAGCAAGAGUAAUGUUUUUUCCUUUUGAUUUGAGUACAGCUUCUUCAGCACUUCAUGUUAUGUCUUAACUGGUUUCUUGGGUGUUGCCCUUAGCUUUGUUCCUGUCUUUAUGUAAAACUUUCUCAAUGCAAUUUUUUGGUGCUUUGUCCUCAGAUGGACUCAUCUACUUGGAGGGAGGAUGUAGAGUCAGGAACUCCGCUCCUAUUGUUCACUGAGGUUUGUAUUGCAACCACUUUGCAGUGAGGACACAGGCUGAAUAACCUGAGAGCUGAUAGUCCUUCAAAGCCUUCUCUUGCAGUUUUGGCUCCCUACCUUGAAUGCCCAGAAGCACAGACAGGCUUCUUCUGCAACUGAUUGCAAAAGCACCUCUGGGAAGCUCAGCUUGCUGAUGCAGUGAUAAUACCGGUCUCUAAGGACAUGUGCAGCUGUAUGUAACGUUAGAAAGUAAUGAUCGGGGCUUGGCUUUUCAGUGUUGCUGUCUACAUCUGGGAGAGAGUAAUUCAGAUGUGUUUGGAUCUGGUUUCUAAACCCUGAAGUAAGUCCUUAGUGAUGGUCUGCCCCACUAAAGCAUGCAGUGUGGUUAAUUCCUGUGUAACUUUCAUUCCACAUGCAGUUUUAUACAGUUGUGUGACCUAGCACACAACUUCUUUCUCUAUUAGAGUAUAUAUUUAGUUUCACUGCCUUUUAUUAGAAACUCCAUGAAAAUAUAAGAAAAAUUCCUUUCAGUCAGGCUGAAGCCCUGAAGGUAAAUAAAUAAAUAAAUGGAUCAGUACUUUUUCCUUGUGAGGAGAAAUGAAGUUUGUACCAUGGCUCAGCUUUAUGAAAUUAAAUCUUACUGCCUCUACUCUGAGAGCAGAAGCAGAGCCAAAUUUUUAUUGUGCUCUCAAGUAGAUCAGUUAAUGCUGUGGCACUUAAUACUUCACUCUAUAGUGAUGUUCUUUCCAUGCUCCUAAAGGAUUAUUUCUUAAAACUAUAGAAUAAAACUUAAAUACUCUCUCACCCCCCCCCUCCCCUUUUCUUAACUUUUGUCCUUCUCUGUUACCCACCUGAAAUAUUUCACCACUCUAGAAGCUUAAUUUUAAAUAAAGCUGUAGGUAUCUCUGUAGAGUGUAAAAAUAUUACGUUGGUAUAGUGCAGGUCAAUAACUGUGAACCCCUGACUGGCUUUCAUGUAUGGCAUCUCCCAAAACAGCUCUGAGCAAAGCUAUCCCAUUGAGGCAUUUAUUGCCCUUGUAUAUGAAUCAACUGAAGUAGGAGAACUAGUGCUUUUUCAUAUGUAUAUUCUGGGAAUGGGAGCAGGCAAUUUAGAAAAGAAAAUGUUAACUCAUUUUAUAUCUACUAGCUUCAGAUCAGUACUCAAGAGCAUUUGCGUAGGGCAGAGCUGUUCCUGUUGCCACCUCAAAUGGGGAAAUUGUGGUUAUGAUACAUCUCCAGGAACCCAAAUAUUUCUUUCUUGCACCGGGGUCUUAAGAGCAAAUUAACUGUGAAAGGUCAUCGCGCUGUUUCCUGCUCUGGUAAUAUCAUCCUCCUUUGGGAUGGCUGGAUGGCUCUGCUGAAGUGUGGGGAAGGAAUAGUGACUUGCAGUAUUGUCUCAAAUUAAAGUGUCAAGUAUUCAGAGACUGGUUUAUGUACUGAGUCAGGUUGGUGACUGACAUGCAAAGUUAACAGUUUACUUUGAGGGGUGCAGGACGUUACUAGGAAUAGCCUUUUCUUAAGCAGAUUGGAAUCUAAGGAACACACUACCUCAUGCACUUCUUUAUUUCUUUUUGAGUAGUAAUCUUGUUUCUUUGAUCAUGUCCUUGAGCACCUUCCCCUUGCGCACGCCUUUCUGCCCCAGUGCCUUCUAAAUAGUUCCUGUGACAGCAGAUACCCAGACUGAAAAUGUUUGCCAUAACUCAUAAGUCAAAGUACUUUCAAUCCCAGAAUAGAGGAGUCUGCAUGCAGACUUCAUUACACAGUAUUCAUAACAUAAACAAGCUUGCAAUUAUGUCAUAGCAACCAGCACUAUGCUUACAUGUAAGUUUGAUUCAGGUCUCUAAGAGUGGAAGACCUCUGCAUCCAAAAUAUCACAGCGACCUACUUCUCUGAAAGAGUGCCCUACAUAAUUUCAGAAAUUAGAUACGACACCAAUAUAGUAGGCCAGAUGGUGCCUUCUGCUGGCGUAGGAUGAACGGUGGGAUAUUCUUGGGGCCACGUAAAUGUCUGCCCACUGACUAGGUGAAGUCAGCUCAUUAUUAGUCAGCGUGAGGUGUGACUCUUGUUUUCCUGAUGUUGUGAAGGCAACAAAAUCAAAGCAUCGGUUGUUUUAAAAAGGCUUUUACUAAUAGCAUGGGCAUGCUCCUAAGGAGUACUGUUUUUUUUUUUGACCUUUGUUUGCCAGGGUGAACCUCAGGGGCUACAUCUAAAGUUGUUGAGACGACUCAGGACCUUCCUCUCCAUAACUCCCAAAGAGGCCAGGUUUCCUAGGAGCAGACAAACAUGUUUAGUUGAUCUGAUCCUGAGCAGCUGGAGCAGGAUUACUUAUUUUUCUGUUCUUUCCCUAAACUGACUGUAGAAGUCAUGAAGUGUCUUUUGCUUCCCUGUGCCGUGUAGGAAGAAUCUUUAUCCAUGUUAGCUAUGUCAAUGGCAAAUAGCACCUGCCACAAAUAACAUAUUCUUUAAUCAGAGGCUUCUUUUGGAUUUUACGUAAGCGUACCCGAUAGUCCAUCAUCUGAAUGAAGAGUUUUUAAAACAUUCUUUGAAGAAGGGAGGAGCUGUUGGUGGAAAUACACGUGGAGAGAAAGGCAGCAAUGAUCGAAUACUUCAAUGCAUACCCAGCACUGAAGCACCCUAUACAGUUUUCCUUAUUAGUGUUAAUAUGAUUAAUAUGAUUAAACAAUAGUGAACCUGCACACUAGCCCCAGUUGUGCCUGCUCACAUUGGACGCAGGCCCAAUGUCUGACCUGCAUCCUUUCUGGCACUGAGUUGUCCCCGCAGGGCACAGGGUUGGGAGUGGGCCGAGGGCAAUGGUGAGCUACAGAUCCCACCCAGCACUGGAUAGCUUGGCAGCUGCCUGCCCGUUUCACUUGUCAAUACACUGGUGUAACAGAGGAGGUUUGAGAAAAAGUGGGGCCUUGUACUCAGAUCAGCUGGUUUUGUGGCCUGCAAGUAUGGAAGGUCUGAUGGUUUUCAGAGUGCUGGAUGGUUUUAUUUGUGACUAUUUCUUGUAGUGCGUUGUUAUCACUCUGCUGUACCUCGUUGAAGUGCUGUGAAGUAAUACCCCUCCUUGGGACAGUGCCCCAUUGAUUAAUUUGCUAGGAUUAAUUUGCAGGCCGUGCUGCUGGCACCAUGUGUGGGGUGAGGUGUUCAGCACAACAUGGCGCCUGCCUGUGGUGACGUGGUGGGUGGCCUUCCAAACAGGCUGCAGGGACACGAGGGCUCACUGUUUGCUCUCCCCUUUUCCAGCCAGAGCUUUGAGUGGCUGUCACUCUGGACAAGCUGGCAUCCCUCACAGCCUCUCGUGCGUUUAUUAGGUGGCAUCCGUGAAGAUAAUCUCAUUUUGGCUUGUAACCAUAAGGUAAAUGUUCAGUGACCUUCGGGUGAUCUCUGUGUGUAAUGCUGUGUCCUGCCAGCUCCUUGGUCUUGGUGAUGAUACUGCUUCUGGCAGUGCCUCCGAGGUGGUAACCUGCAUUGUCAGGGAGUCGUGAUGUUUAUCAACAGGCAGCGGUAUCUUCCUCUGCUUCCAGCACGGGAGUUGCCCACUGAUCAGAAACUGCUUUUUAAUCUCAAUGCUUAAUUUACUGUCUCUUUUUUUUUUUUGAGAGAGAGAGAAGCCUUUCAUCUCCUGCAUUUCGAAAGGUGUGAUAUGGCUAUAUGAAAUAGAUGAUGCCUAUCUGUGACGGAAGGCUUUUUGUUGUUUUAUUUUUCUCCUCAAAGAUUGCAGUAAAAGAAAACUGCUGUGCAAGUGGCUCAGCUGCUGACGUGAGAUGAGUCAGGUCUGGGUGACUGCAGUCCUGUAGAGAGUGCCUGGGUUGUGUUUUUUAGGUAAAACUGGUAUUUGUACUGAUGGACCUUACUUGGACUUGAAACCAGGAUAAACCCCUCUGGACAAUUGAUGCUACCGCUGCAGCAUUCAAUCAGGCACAGUGCUGAUGGUGCUUACUAGACAAAUGUCUGCUCUACAUAAACUUUGGUGCCUGCACUGAUCUGACACGGAUUUUUAGUAUAUGCUUUAUAGGGUGGCAUGCCUACGCCAUUUUAGAAAUUCCGUGGUUCUCUCAGACUCUUAGUAUUUGUUAUAUCAACAAAUAUGUGCCCUAAAACCUGUGCCAGUAGAAUGAGCUUUCCUUGAAGAAGGUUUUAAGGAGUGGACGCACAAUUUGAGCUGAUAGCCAUAGAUGGUUAUGAUGAUUAAAAUAUCCCUGAAGGUUAGAAACUGUCUUACUGAUUAAACUGUGCAGAGUUUCUGGGUAGCAGUGCCAGAUCAAAUGGCACUGGGAUGCAAAUGAUUCUUCUUGUAAUGUUUCAGAAGCAGGGCUUUCAGAAAAGUGGUGGUUAUGUGCACUUUUGGGUUUUGAUUUUGUUUUUCUUUGACAGGAAUGGUUUUGUAUUCUCCGUGCUUUGCACUGUGUCUAGAAUUCAGACUAGAUUGUGAACAUUAAAAAAAUUAGACUCAGUCACGGACUUUCAAUCAAAGAAGGAAAACCUGCUGAAUUUUGAGUGACUGGUUUUCUUGUGUGUUUUUUUUGUUUUUUGUUUUUUUUUUUUUUUUACUUUUUUUAAACCUGAAGCACCAACUUUUCUCAUCUAUUUAUUUCCCUUCUCUGAUUCAGGGAGUACUUUGCUCUCAAGCAUGAUUAUAUAUUUACUGCAUAUAUAUAUAUAUAUAAACAUAUAUAUAUAUAUAAAUACAUAUAUAACACGCACAUAUCCCCAAAGCCCCUUGUGUCCUAAAGGUUUUUGUCUAUUCCCUUUUCUUUUUGCUGUUGCCUAAGGAAAUGAAGUGAUUUGGCUGGCUCAGCCAUUCCUUGUUUUUAGCAUUUCCACAGCCUCUGGCCGACUACCUUACGUUUUUAAGGUUAAUUUGUCUUCGCUCUUCAAGACAGCUGGCAGGGAUGUGGGAAGGGUGUGGGAUGUGGCAAGCAGUCUGCCAGCUUUCCUAAAGCUGCAAUAACAAAACCCAGCAUAAUCUUGAAGGUCUCACUGCUGUUUCUACUGCCAAGGUCCAAGAAGUUUUGCUCCUUUAGGCCCCCAUAACUUUCUCACAGAGAUUUCUGUUAAUCCAUGAGAAGGAUGUUAUUUUAAAGAAAUCCAUUUUGCGUUUCUGAGUUCUGUUAAUAUGGUAACUCAUAUGAAUAAUGUAUAGAAGUAGCACGCUGUUUAUAACUACCUGUGCACAGUGGUCUGUAAUGCAUCUAAUAAAGGAAGAAAAGCUCCCAGACGUAGUAGAAUGCCAUUCAGUAAGAAGUCAUUGGGGACAAGUAGUUUAAUGCUUUAAAGUAACCAAAGCAGUUGCGUAGACACAGUGAGGUAUGUAAUGAAGUUUAAGCUGUUUAGUAAUAAUUAAACUGAAAAUGACAGUUAUAUGUGGUAGAAAAUGCUGUUUUGGGUGUAUUUUGCCCACAGAAAAUUCAUUUUAUGGAUUUCAUGGGAUUUAGAGACUGAAGGACUUCAAUAGAUUUUUGAAUUUGAGGAUCUAAGAGACCUUGGAAUUUCAUUCAUGUACCCUUCAUGUUGACCUCAACGGUUUACUUAAAUUGUUGCAUGCCACAUCAGAAAGCAAGCUUGAACAGAGGUCACACUGAAGAUUUGAGAUGCCCACGUGGAUGAGCAGAGGUAAGGGCUUCAAUCCUGUGAUUCAUACUCCUUGCUAAGAAAGAAAGCAGAAGUACAAGACCAUUGCAGGAAACACCCUCUGGGCUUUCGAAUGUGGGGAGAUGCUUAACCAGUAGUGGCUGAAUGCCAUGCAUCCAUUUAGGCACUGAAGAAGUGAAAUUCUCUGUAUAGCCAUAGAAUGUGGCUAUAUUCUAUCCAGUGACUCUUGCAGUGGCACAGCACUCUGAAGGACCUCUGUACUUUGUGGAAGAAAAUAAAACUGGAAUGUACAACAGGGAAGUGUCUCCUUCUCAGCUGAUGAAGCUACGAAGUGUGGUUGUCAUUGCUUUGUUACACAGAACUCCAAGUAUCAGUAGCCCUUCAAUGCUGUACUAUUAGUUACUUGCCUUUGGCUUAACACAGGGAGAGGCUGAGGGGAUUCAUGUGUGAGGGGGUCAGAACCGAUCACAAUAAUUUUUCAACUUGAUCCUCCCUUUUAGUGUUAGCCAUUUAGCUUUUCCUAUAAAUCAGUAGGAAACAUAUUUUCUGAGAGAAUGCGGUCUCUCUUCAAGACUCCAUGUGAUGACGAGCCUACCACCUGGCAACCUGUUCCAGUGCUUAAUUACCCACACUGCUGGAAAAUUGAGUCUUAAUUCAUGAUAAUUUAUUUAUUCUAGAUAAUAAAGCUUUUGGGGCUGUCUGUGCUUUUACUAAGUGUUUUUACAGUGCCUAGCUGAAAAGGAUCUCUGACUCCUGAUGGGAGUCUAGGUGCCACCAGAAUGCACAACUAGCUUGUUAGCUGGGAAAAGUAGAAUCUAUUCCUAUUUACUCAGCUGUUCUUAAAGGAUAUAAGAUUAAGGACUUAGGUUUCUUGGUGCAGUGACUUCUUUUUUUCUUCUUCUUCUUUUUUUUUCUUUCUUUUAUUUCCCUUCCUUAUAUUAUAGACUAUAUGGUGAUAUUUUCAGCAAGGGUAUGAGUGUUGUUUUUCACUUCUGUUGUUUUCUGGGGCUGGCACUAAAAAUGUUCCCCUUUUUCAAUUUGUCAACUGCACUGACAAAUUACCCUUUGGCAAGGAAUACAGCGCAGUAAUCUUGGAGCAUAACUUUUGUGUCAGUCUGGCUUCCUUUAUUUCUGCCAAGGGUAUUGCUCAGAAACUGGGAGAUAUGGCUAUGUAUUUUGUAAAUACACUAAUAAGAAUGUUGAUCUUUGCAUAGAAAAAGUGUUUUCAAAUAAAUGCCAUUAUCAGGCGAAGGAAUAGUUAAAGUCCAGAGGAAAUGUGACUACACAUUUGCCUGAUUUGGGGCUGCUGAAAUAUUAUCUCAUAUAGGUUGGGACUAUAAAGGUGUUAGGUUUUUUGAAAAGGCUGCCAGUGGCUCCAACAGGCUCUUGAAAAGCCAAGGAUUAGUCAGAUGGAGGAAUGUCUUGGCCAAAAAUCUCCUUUCUCUGGCUAAGCCCACUCCCUUGGCAGCGCUGUAUUGUAUUCUUAUAAAAGCUGCUGGGGAAGCUUGAGGUCAGUGCAAGAUUUCUUUAUGACUAUUGGAUCCUCCUGGGACCACUUGAAGUGGAUUUAGAGCUCCUUUUUACUCGGAAAUGUAAUGGUGAAUAAGGGCCAUUUCUGGGACAUUUUGUUUGUUUUAUGAACCUGCUGCUUCAGAUUCCCCUUUUGUUUAUCCAAUCAGUACAAAUGACUUCUUGACAAGGUUCCCAAUUCCUGACAAGCUAGGUGGUUUUGUCUGUCAGGCACUGUAGCAAAGGACUGAUGGCUCCAAACAAUAGACAUGUUGUUCCCAUCUGAAGAUGUCAAGUGCAAGCGCCUUUCAGCUGUGAUUACUGGCAUGCGUCUUUGGUUCCAUCUGAGAUCUCUUAAUCUUUCCUAUGUUAGGAGGACAGCUCACAACAAAGCAUUACCUAGCAACAAAAAUACCUCAGGUCGGUUCAGGGAAAGCAACAGAAGAGUUGUUAUUAAUCAUGCUGGGAUGAUGCAUUGUGGUUUAAAAAAUUGGAAAGGAAAGGCCAGAUUAAAUAUUGACAUUUACUAUAUUCCAACUGUGUUAGCUUUCACUCUGGCUGACAUGAAAACAUAUAUUCAGUGAAAAUGGGAAAUAAAAACCCUUGUAUGUGUUUUACUGAAUGUCUCAAAGUAAAUGUGUUGUUUUUUAUUUAAAUAUGAUCAGUUAUGUGGGGAUGGUGCAGAUGAUAGAGUCUUCUGAAUAUGAAAGGCUGAUGGAACUUCAGUGCUCGUCCUUAGACCUAAUGGUCUUGGAUGUCAAAAUGAAAGGGAAAACUGCUGGCUUCGAUGGAAAACACUUUAUUAUAAAUGAGAACUUUAAUGAGCUCACUGUGUUUACAAAGAUAAAAACAAAACAAAAAGAAGUUUAAUAAACAAAUAUCACCGUAGUGAAGGACCUGAGACUUACCAGCAGCUUGCAAUGUUCUAUAUUUAAAAAGCAAAUUUUGGUGCAUUUCCAGCAGUUGAAAGCCUAGAAGCAUUAUGAAUUAGUUUUAGCCAUCUCUGCUCAAUGGCUAUAACUUCACGAGGCUAAGUUUAACCAGAAUAUAACAGAUAUUAAUGGUCUUGGUGUCAUAAGCUGAGUUGCACCUCAGAUUAUAAGGAAGGGACAGUAUUAUGGUUACAGAGAAAGAUAAAUAGUCUGUAACUGUGCAGGAAAGAAAUGUGGUCAGAAAUGAGGAAGGAACUGCUGCUUGCUGAGGCGUUUUAAUGUUAAAAUAUACAGUUCUGGAAAGGUUAGUGAACUUUCCACUCUGCUCUUAUAUGUGGAAGUGAGAACUUAGGGCCCAACUUUGUGCCGUGAAGUGGGUAGUGUGAGGAAGCAAAGUCGUGAACGGGCAUAGGUGGGUGGUUGAAAUCCCGACUCAUUUUUUCUUCAUAUGAUGUUCUUUCAGCUGAAGUGGUGCCAAGUAAGUCUGUCCUGUUGUGCUGAAGCUGUUUUCCUGGUGGUGGCUCUUCAUGGCAGCCGUCUCUUGCUGCCUACACUGCCUGCCCAUUGCACUCAUGAGUGAAGGUGAAGGCACGGUUCUGUGGAAGGAAUAGUUGGAGAAAGGGCUAAAACGAUCCAGUAUUGUUUUCUAUAA